GGGCGUGUAACUCAGUGGAAGAGUGCUUCCCCGACACGGAAGAAGUCCCUGGUUCAAAUCCAGGCACGCCCA
rnacentral:tRNA from 2 species